GUGAGUGGCGAACUGGUGAGUAACACGUGGGAAACCUGCCCAGAAGCGGGGGAUAACACCUGGAAACAGAUGCUAAUACCGCAUAACAACUUGGACCGCAUGGUCCGAGCUUGAAAGAUGGCUUCGGCUAUCACUUUUGGAUGGUCCCGCGGCGUAUUAGCUAGAUGGUGGGGUAACGGCUCACCAUGGCAAUGAUACGUAGCCGACCUGAGAGGGUAAUCGGCCACAUUGGGACUGAGACACGGCCCAAACUCCUACGGGAGGCAGCAGUAGGGAAUCUUCCACAAUGGACGAAAGUCUGAUGGAGCAACGCCGCGUGAGUGAAGAAGGGUUUCGGCUCGUAAAACUCUGUUGUUAAAGAAGAACAUAUCUGAGAGUAACUGUUCAGGUAUUGACGGUAUUUAACCAGAAAGCCACGGCUAACUACGUGCCAGCAGCCGCGGUAAUACGUAGGUGGCAAGCGUUGUCCGGAUUUAUUGGGCGUAAAGCGAGCGCAGGCGGUUUUUUAAGUCUGAUGUGAAAGCCUUCGGCUCAACCGAAGAAGUGCAUCGGAAACUGGGAAACUUGAGUGCAGAAGAGGACAGUGGAACUCCAUGUGUAGCGGUG
rnacentral:rRNA from 1 species